rnacentral:rRNA from 1 species
AUACGUAGGUGACAAGCGUUAUCCGGAUUUACUGGGCGUAAAGGGCGUGUAGGCGGUCUUGCAAGUCAGAAGUGAAAUUCCUGAGCUCAACUCGGGCGCUGCUUCUGAAACUGCAGGGCUUGAGUGCUGGAGGGGAUAGCGGAAUUCCUAGUGGAGCGGUAAAAUGCGCAGAUAUUAGGAGGAACACCAGUGGCGAAGGCGGCCUGCUGGACGACAACUGACGCUGAGGCGCGAAAGCGUGGGGAGCAAACAGGAUUAGAUACCCUGGUAGUCCACGCUGUAAACGAUGAAUACUAGGUGUGGGGGGACUGACCCCCUCCGUGCCGGAGUUAACACAUUAAGUAUUCCACCUGGGGAGUACGGCCGCAAGGUUGAAACUCAAAUGAAUUGACGGGG